UGAAGGGGGCUGCUCCUAGUACGAGAGGACCGGAGUGGACGAACCUCUGGUGUACCGGUUGUCACGCCAGUGGCAUCGCCGGGUAGCUAUGUUCGGAAGAGAUAACCGCUGAAAGCAUCUAAGCGGGAAACUCGCCUUAAGAUGAGAUAUCCCCGGGGCUUCGAGCCCCUUGAAGGGUCGUUCAAGACCAGGACGUUGAUAGGUCAGGUGUGGAAGCGCAGUAAUGCGUUAAGCUAACUGAUACUAAUUGCCCGUAAGGCUUGAUCC
rnacentral:rRNA from 1 species